rnacentral:rRNA from 1 species
AUACGUAAGGGGCGAGCGUUGUCCGGAAUGAUUGGGCGUAAAGGGCGCGUAGGCGGCGCGGUAAGUCUGGAGUGAAAGUCCUGCUUUCAAGGUGGGAAUUGCUUUGGAUACUGCCGCGCUUGAGUGCAGGAGAGGUUAUCGGAAUUCCCGGUGUAGCGGUGAAAUGCGUAGAGAUCGGGAGGAACACCAGUGGCGAAGGCGGGUAACUGGACUGCAACUGACGCUGAGGCGCGAAAGUGUGGGGAGCAAACAGGAUUAGAUACCCUGGUAGUCCUCACUGUAAACGAUGAAUGCUAGGUGUAGGGGGUAUCGACCCCUUCUGUGCCGCAGUCAACACAAUAAGCAUUCCGCCUGGGGAGUACGGCCGCAAGGUUGAAACUCAAAGGAAUUGACGGGG